ensembl:miRNA Mir706 microRNA 706
AGAGAAACCCUGUCUCAAAAAAACAAAAAAACAAACAAAAUUACUUUUAGUAGGUUUAUUUUGUUUUUUGAGAUGGCUUUUUUUU